rnacentral:rRNA from 1 species
AUUGAACGCUGGCGGCAUGCCUUACACAUGCAAGUCGAACGGCAGCACGGGAGCAAUCCUGGUGGCGAGUGGCGAACGGGUGAGUAAUAUAUCGGAACGUGCCCAGUCGUGGGGGAUAACGUAGCGAAAGCUACGCUAAUACCGCAUACGAUCUAUGGAUGAAAGCGGGGGAUCGCAAGACCUCGCGCGAUUGGAGCGGCCGAUAUCAGAUUAGGUAGUUGGUGAGGUAAAGGCUCACCAAGCCGACGAUCUGUAGCUGGUCUGAGAGGACGACCAGCCACACUGGGACUGAGACACGGCCCAGACUCCUACGGGAGGCAGCAGUGGGGGAAUUUUUGGACAAUGGGCGCAAGCCUGAUCCAGCAAUGCCGCGUGCAGGAUGAAGGCCUCGGUGUAACUGCUUUUGUACUAGGAAGAAACGACUAACUUCGUG